UACGUAGGGUGCGAGCGUUAUCCGGAAUCACUGGGCGUAAAGCGUCCCUAGGGGGCGAUAUAAGUACCGUGUUAAAUUCACCAGCUCAACUGGUGGCCUGCGCGGUAUACUGUAUUGCUAGAGGUAUGUAGAGGUGAGCGGAAUUUCCAGAGUAGGGGUAAUAUCCGUAGAUACUGGAAGGAACACCAAUAGCGAAGGCAGCUCACUGGACAUCACCUGACCCUGAAUGACGAAAGCGUGGGGAGCGAACCGG
rnacentral:rRNA from 1 species